GGACUACACGGGUAUCUAAUCCUGUUUGCUCCCCACGCUUUCGUGUCUCAGCGUCAGUAUUCGUCCAGUUGGCCGCCUUCGCCGCCGGUGUUCCUCUCGAUAUCUACGAAUUUCACCUCUACACCGAGAAUUCCACCAACCUCUCCGAUACUCGAGCCAUACAGUAUCGGGUGCACUUCCCAGGUUAAGCCUGGGGCUUUCACAUCCGACUUAUAUGGCCGCCUACACACGCUUUACGCCCAGUAAUUCCGAACAACGUUUGCACCCUCUGUCUUACCGCGGCUGCUGGCAC
rnacentral:rRNA from 1 species